GCCUUUCUGUUCAAUAAACCAGACUUCUUACCCUCAACUCGCAGCCUCGACUCGUGUUGUAGGGAAAUGCUGAUCACUAGCUCUGCUCAGAGCUCCAGGAAUACUUUACACUUGCAGGAAGAUCGUGAGGUGCUGAAUUGGAAAUUUCUACCUCUCUCCAGGAUCGGGGACAAGGACAUCCAAUCGGUCCAACCCUCAGCUAGCCUGAGGCAACCGUAAC
rnacentral:lncRNA from 1 species